GAUGUGGUAGACCAGCAGGGUCGCUAAGUGUCAAAGAGAAGUGGUCUUUGACUUCUUCAGCAGCUCCCCGCUUCUGUCAUUCGUGUGUUUCCAACGUCCUAUCGGGUGCCCAUGUCCUUGUGAACUAAUAGAAGUGGUGAUUGAGUUGGUGCAGGACUGACUGGUCUCAGGGCAGCCCAGAGCAGAAGCCCGGCUCAAACCUCAGUAGGAUGUCUGCUGGUGGGAGCUGUGGCCGUGCCCAGGAAUGCCGCCCUACAUCUGGAUUGCUUUGUUGAGAUAGAGUUCGCAUCCUACGCAACUCGCCCACUGAUGGUGUUCAGGUCAGUAGUUUUUAGUGUACUCAGAGUUGGGUAAGCAUCCCUGCAACCUAAUUUUAGCCCCCUUUCAUCCCGCCAAAGAGAAACCUCACCUCCUAGCCAUCACGUUCCCGAAGAUUUGCUUAUUCUGGCCAUUUCACGUAUGUGGAGUCAUACACUAUGGGACCUUUUGUGUCUCGCUUCUGUUGCCGAGCGUCAUGUCCUCAACGGUCACCCGCAUCGUAGGAUGUGGCCGUGCUUUGUUCCUUUUUAUCAUUGCAUAAUAAUCCAUUGUAUGGAUAUAUAGCAUUUUGUUGGGCCUUUGAGCAGUCGGUGAACAUUUGAGUGGUUUCCACUUUGGAAACCAUUUAACGAUGGAAUGAACAUUGCUGUAUGAGCUUUCAUGUGGACACUGUCUUCAUUCCUCAUGGGAGUGGAAUGUUGGGUCUGAUGGCAGCUCUGUGCUUACCACUCCAAGAAGCUGCCACACCGAUUUCCGAAGUGCCUACCCCAGUUUUCAUUCCCACCAGCCCCGUAUGAGGGUCCAGUUUCCCCACAGCCUUGCUGACACUUUUAACUUAUUGCCUAUCUCUUUGAUCGCAGUCCUGCUAGUGGGUGUGAAGUGGUGUCUCAUUGUGGUUUUGAUUGGAAUCUCCUUAAUGACUAACAAUGUUGCACAUCUUUUCUUGGGCCUUUCUGGAGCCCGCCUUUCUUUCUUUCUCUUCUUUCUUUCUUUCUUUCUUUCUUUCUUUCUUUUUCUUUCUUCUUUCUUUCCUCUUAAUUCUAGUUUAGAGAGUUUCCCAAACCUUCGUGAGAUUCUGGCUGGGUUUCCCUUGUUGCCGUUGUUACUGUAACUACUCUGUUUCUCCUCUGCCAUGCAAGGAGCCAAGACCAAAGUGAAGGCCAGGGUCACAGUGAAGGGGUACUAGAAAGAGCAGCUGUUGGACACAACUGUGCUGUGAGACGUUCUUGCUAAACAUUUGCCUUGUUAUCUUUUUCAUCGAGAUGCUGGCCUGGCGUUCAGUGUAAGUUCUCUGCAUUGUACUGUGUUUGAGUUCACCAACUGUCAUCGAGAUGAGUUGGGGCAGAAAGGGAGGGAUACAUGGUUGAAUGGAGGCCAAACUGAAAUUCUGAUUCUUGAGCAUGUGAUAAUCCAUGCAAAAUGUUAGCCAACUUCCAGUUCGGUUUUUAAUCUUAUUAGCAGGUAUCUUGGCCACCUGAUACCCUUUCCAGCAGCUGUGAAACCCCAAAGUGUAUUGAAUUCAGUGAGAAUUGCAUACAUGAAAUUUAAGGCCCCAGGUUAGAGCUUGGUGUGUCCUUUAAAUAAAGUCCUUUGCUGAACCGCGUUAGUGCAGAUCAACCACUUUAGAUCACAUCCAAGGCCAAGGCCAGCCGAUGAGGAUAUUUCAAGUGAUUUGGCAGUUUUCACAUGGGCUACCUUUGUCACUGGGUCCAAACUGUGGGAGCAUUUCAGCUUCACUGAAGCCCAUUUGCUUUGGUGCUGACCUCCUCUGGCUGACUGUGCUCAUUACAGUUUUUAAGGAUUGCUGGAGUAUAUGAUUUACGGUGUAAACGAAAGUAGUUAAGUCCCCAAAUCUGAAAAAUACCACAGAACUUUCCUAGUUGUUUAAAAUGAGACCUCACUUAACAUUAACAUCUACGUGCCAGCGGCAUUGUACUUGGGUUUGCUCUCUUUCCAGGGGUCUGCUUUUUAAGGGAGCCCAAGUUAUCAUGAAAUGUGAAAAUCUGCCUGUUCGGGACCAGUCUGUAUAGAUUUGGGUGAAUUGUAUCAGUUCAGGCGCACUAAGCUGUAAGUAAACCAUAGCCACCUCAAAAUAGUUUAAAGAAUGAGUGAACC